rnacentral:tRNA from 1 species
AUUGAUAUGGCAGAAGUAGUGCGAUGAAUUUAAGCUUCAUUCAUAGGGUUUAAGCUCUUGUUAAUA